AUAAAUGUUAAAAGCCCCGAAUGAUGUAAAUUACGAAAUUAACAGACACACCUUCUUUUUUUCUGUGUCUACUAAAAAUGUUCAACUCUGACAUUUAACCAUUUCAGAUAUCGUUCUUUGUAUCGCUUGUUAUUACUUGAGAUUGAAACAAACAACUACAAAUUCUCCGUUUUUUCAAUGCCACUGACGAUUAAUGUAACGCGUGGUAGUUUAGAAACGAUAAAAACUUGUUGCCAUGUCAGCAGCUAUUAACUUGUUAAUGUUACCAAUAGACGAGAACGAAGUAAACAGCACUGAAGACAAGCGUGGAACGGAAGUAUUUAGACGAAUUGCAGCAGGUCGGGGAAAUGAAAUUCCUCCCGUCUCUUUAAAUAUUUCGCUUAGCAUUAGCGGCGACAGAAUCAAAAACGUGAUUCUAAUUGCGUUUACUUACUUUGAAAGAGAAAUUCUCGGUUGUGCCGAGGAGAAGGAGGAUUCGCGGCAGAUGUUUGCAGCGGAACGCCGAAGAAAGUAGCAGUCGCGAGAUUAAAAUGGCUCCAAUAUUGCCUGGGCGCAAUCUGUUUAAUUGUAAAGCGUUCCCUACCGAAUGAAGCGGCAAGAGGAAAAAGCCUGUUUCGCGGAAGUUCUCCACGCUCUUGACCAACGUUUUGCGCUUGUGAAAAUGAAGGGAAAUUAACGUUACGAAAUUAAAGAAUCUUUCAAAGCUUGGUCACUGACGAUAGCCAGGAAGGAUAUUGGUUAAUGCUGUGAAACUUGUAAGAGGAGUAUCGCAAGCAUCUGGAUCUUGUCAAACGAUUAAUCAUUCUCGUUGAAUGUUCGCUCGUGGUGAAACACGAUAGUUGCUCAAUAACUUUGCUCCAGUUGUUUUGGAAUCCUACUGGACUUCAUUUAUCAAUCGUUUAAUAAUUAUACAAUCGAAACAAUUAGUCUCUUUUAAAUAAAUAUCCAUCCUCCGUUGAACUUGAUUCGAGUAUGAACGUCUAAGUACUUUGAAAUAAUUCUCAACUUGUUUUUAAUAUUUCUAUACGCUUAUAUUAGAUCGUUAGUGGUAAAUAUUUCUUUUCGAGGUCUUCUUUCGUCCAUCUCAAGAUCACAAAACAUUCAAACAGACAUUGCUUGCAUUUGUGUAUCAUUUUCCACAUAAGGCUCGAUCUAUUAUUUUUUUCGUACAUGGUACAUUAUAUACUAUUACAGAGUAUUUAAUAUAUAGUAUAUUAUAUGCUUAAAACAAGUAUACGAUCUGCUUCUUUCAAAGUGAAUUCCAGUUUCCGGGUUAUUUUGCUUUUUCUUCGUAAGUACAAGUCUAGCCGAACUGCUCCGAAACAGCGAGAAUACCAAGUUUUUACAAAUCCGAAAUUAACAAACUUAUAUUUAAUUACGAAAGAGGAAACAUAUACAAACCAGUCAGCACCGAUCAUAAACUUAAUAAUGUUGGUACGAUUGACUUAAUCUUUGGAUUAAGUAAUACAUUCGAUUUUAAACAACUUCAUAAUCAUUACUUUGUAUAUAUACUGAGCGUGUCGAUAAAAACAAUUUCAUUCUACACCUGUACUCGCUUGAAAAAUUAUACUCGUCCAACUACGAUAGCGAUAUCACUCCUUUGAAAAAAAUCUCUGCUUCGUCGUUACUUCCUGGUAAUCUCCGUUAUAAGAAAUAUUCCACAAAUUACCUCCAAAGAAAACAGAAAGAUCCAAUUUAGAAGAUCACGGAGAAUUAAAUCGAUAACAACGAGAGCAACGAGCAAAAAGCCGACGAUUAUCCGUAUGCUGCUAGUUGCAUAACCCUUACAGUUGCAAAACGCGGACGAGCGAGUUUUACUUUCAAAGGUCGGGUUCUGUGACGCCAAGGUCGGCCAUCGUAAUAUGCGGUUUAUUUGUAUCGACGAUCGCUUUCACCAGCGAAAGUUCCACGUGCUUAUUUGAUCUCGAGACAAAGAGACACAGAAGGACGCGCCGGAAACGACGGGAAAAGGGAGCAAGAAGAAAAAGAGGAAUAGAAGGGAAGAAUAAUUGCACGGGUCGAUCGUGUAAUUCAUUAGGCGAAAGACGAGCCGGUGAAUGGACAGCAAUUUUCGGUAAUCGCCGAUUGCACGACUCGAUGAGUCGUUAUUCAGAUCCACGUAUACCGUUGCUGCUAGCCAGAGUGGAAGAAAGGGUCUUCAGGAUUAAAAGUUGCAGAGCUGUCGAGUGGCGGAGCCGUUUCCAGAGACAGGAGCCAGGAAAGCGGAGCCGUUGUUAAAAAGGGGAGAAAAUUUACGCCUGAAAAGAGAUGCUACGCGGAGAAAGAAGGGAACGAGAGGGCUCCAGAUGUACGGGGUGUUUCUGCAGAGAAAGAAUGUUGCGUUGAUAUAGCGAAGUAGGGCCGGAGAAAAUGUUUCUGAUGAGAACUAACAAACUAUACAGCUGUAUAUACAUUUUGAAAUACAGAAAGAUUUGAAA